GAAGGGGGCGAGCGUUGUUCGGAUUUACUGGGCGUAAAGGGCGCSCAGGCGGCGUAUCAAGUCAGGCGUGAAAGCCCCGGGCUUAACCUGGGAGGUGCGUCUGGGACUGGUGUGCUAGAGUUCGGGAGAGGAGAGUGGAAUUCCCAGUGUAGAGGUGAAAUUCGUAGAUAUUGGGAAGAACACCGGUGGCGAAGGCGGCUCUCUGGACCGAGACUGACGCUGAGGCGCGAAAGCGUGGGGAGCAAACAGGAUUAGAUACCCUGGUAGUCCACGCUGUAAACGAUGUGUGCUAGACGUUGGGGAGCCUAGCUCUUCGGUGUCGCAGCUAACGCGGUAAGCACACCGCCUGGGGAGUACGGCCGCAAGGUUA
rnacentral:rRNA from 1 species